rnacentral:rRNA from 1 species
CUAUCACUCCUACGGGAGGCAGCAGUGAGGAAUAUUGGUCAAUGGGCGCAAGCCUGAACCAGCCAUGCCGCGUGCAGGAAGACUGCCUUAUGGGUUGUAAACUGCUUUUAUAUGGGAAGAAACCCCUCUACGUGUAGAGGCUUGACGGUACCAUAAGAAUAAGCACCGGCUAACUCCGUGCCAGCAGCCGCGGUAAUACGGAGGGUGCGAGCGUUAAUCGGAAUUACUGGGCGUAAAGCGCACGCAGGCGGCUUGUUAAGCUAGAGGUGAAAGCCCCGCGCUCAACGUGGGAACUGCCUUUAGAACUGGCAGGCUAGAGUCUUGGAGAGGGGAGUGGAAUUCCAGGUGUAGCGGUGAAAUGCGUAGAUAUCUGGAGGAACAUCAGUGGCGAAGGCGGCUCCCUGGCCAAAGACUGACGCUCAUGUGCGAAAGUGUGGGUAGCGAACAGGAUUAGAUACCCUGGUAG